AGGAGAGGAAAUUUGAUAUGGAUAAGAAGUCUACUGCUCAAAAUUUCUUAAAUGCUGCAAGGGAUGGGGACUUGUCUCCUAAACAGGUGCAAAGUGAAAAAAACAAAAAUAAAAAUCAUACAAGGAAGGGCAGUUGGGAUGGUAAAAUGAUUGAAGAAUUUGUCCCAAGGCAGCUAUCAAUGAGACACGCAAAGAAGACUAUGACAGCUUCUACCACUUCAACAAAAUCUAAGAAGAAAUGAUAAAGUUUCAAGACCUUUUGGAAAGGCAUGAAGAACAAGACCAAAGUGAAAAAUUCAAUGAAUAUAGAAGAUUUUACAAGCUUAAAGAUUAAGGAUACAAUGUUUAUUCUUGGAUUAUUUUCUCAUUAUUUUAGCAUUAUCAUGUGUAAUAUUAUUACAGAGUAUGUUAUAAACUCUGUGAUAAUCAUAGUUUAUUUGAUCAUUUCUAGUUUAUAUUUCUUACAUUCCGGUUAGUAUAGAGAUUUUUUGCCUUAAUGGGAUUAAUAAGAUAAGGUCUAAUCCCCUUAAUUGCACUUUACCUUUGAGGCUUUUUGCUUUUUAGAAAAUUAAUAAAACUAGCUCUAGGCCUGAAAAGCCCAGUGGACUUUGCAAAAAAAACAAAAAAAAAUUGUUUGGAAACUUUUAAAAAUAUUAUUCUUUUACAACAGAGAUGUGCCAUUUGAAGGGCGUACUGCUACGUCCAACACAUUUUCGUGUUCACACUCGACAGUGAUAUUAGACCUUUUAAGUCUGUGUUCACACUUGACAGUGAUGAGGUCUACAAACAAUAAGACCUAAGUCUCCGUUCCCACUAUUUUGUUUUUCCGCGACAUGUUCCCCACCAUCAUAUAAAUCUAAAGAAUUCUGUAACUUGGAUUAUUGUUCUUCCAUUUUAUGAGCAAGUCUUCCCUUGGAAAGUCAAUUCCCCUAGAGAUAUCAGAACUAGAUGUCGAGGAAUGAGGGGGAGCCUUGCAGCAACGGUGAAGUUGUCUCCAUGUGACCAAUCGGUCACGGGUUCGAGCCGUGGAAGCAACCACUAAUGCUUGCAUUAGGGUAAGGUGUAUACAUCACACCCCUUGUGGUGCGGCCCUCCCCUGGACCCUGCUAAUGCGGGAUGCUUUGUGCACCGCGCUGCCCUUUUAACAAAAUGUCGAGGCAUCAAUGUUUGCUGUCAAAUUCACUUCCCUUUAACAUAGAUCAAAUUUGCAGGAGUCAAAUUGCAAGGAUUUGAGAAUCUCUUCAACUUGUCCAAGAAUAAAUGCCAUGUUUUGGGUGCACUCUCUAAGAUAGUUGGUAUGUAUUUAUCUUAAUGACAUUUCCUAUAUUUAUUUAACGAUCAAUAAAUCUCUCUGCAGUCAUCUUACUUAGAUGCUUGAAUAAUUCUGGAGUCAUGCUUCUCACAACGACCAUUAUAGUGCUAUCCGAUGCAUGGAAUUAACAACUAUAGCUUAGAUAGACCACUGAAGACGAUCCUUUUCGUAUUAUUGACUCUAAGGAUUGUGUUGAUGCCUGAGAAUACGCUCUGAUCUCUGACUUUUAGAUUGUAAUACGUUGAGCUUUAACUACUUAGUGACUGGAACUAGUUGGAUGGUUUGCACCAUCUGUGGCAGAAACUGAACCCUGAUGCCCUAAGGUUCAUUGUCUUUGCUGUCUGAGUUUUGCUGUAACUAUUAUCUGACUCUUUUUUAAUCUCACAAGUCCUUUUAUGCUUCUUCAAAGUGAUAAUAAAAGAGUUCACAUUCUAUAUUAGUUGAAGGAACUGAAUCCCUAGUUUGGUCCGAGUUGUUACUACCUAAUAGGAGGGCAAGCUUUUUUACUUCAUGUUUGCUAAUACUACAUCACUUGAUUCCUGCUAUUAUCUAGUGUUUUGCCAACAGAGAUAGAUAGUAUUAUCUCAAGCCUCAAGUGUUCGCAUUACAUUCUCCUUGUGCUUUCAUUUUUCACGCUAAUACAUAAAUGUAUCAAAACAAACUGUAGCUUUAGGAGAGAAGUUCAAGCAUCAGCACUGAAAGGUGCCUGUCUACAUUAUAUUUCCUUGAUAAAAGUAACAAUUUUACUGAUACAAGGGGGUGAAAGAGCCAUGAGGUGCGUGUUGACAGCGAUGCCAAUACAUAAAUAAAAGGAAAGGUGCAUGUGUACAUUGAUAGAGAUAUCAGAUCUAGCAUGAAAGGUAUCACUGUCUAGUUGUCAAAUUCACUUCUCUCUAACACGCGUCAUUUGCACAGUAGUCAAACUGUGGGAGUUUCAGAAUCUCUUCAACUUGUCCAAGAAUACAUGCCAUGUCUUGGAUACACUGUGUGUCAUCUGAGGUAGUUGAUAUGCACUUUAUCUUUAUGGCAUGUCCUAUAUUAGUUAAGCAAUCUAUAAAUUUCUCUGCAAUCCUCCUCCUCAGGUGUUUGAACAAUUCUGUGGCAUUCUUCUCAUCACAACCAUUACAUUGCUGCAUUACGACAUUUUUGCUGAUUUGAUACAUCGACUCAGCAACUAUGGCUUUGACAGGCCACUGGAAACAUUCACCUUUAAGAGUUCCAUUCAUCUUAAAGUCCUCAAGGAUCUUAGUUGCCUUCUCAUGAAGUUCUUUUAGAGUCUCACUUAAUGUCCUUUCACCUCUAACCAUUUCCCCAAGGUCUUCAUCUAGCCACCUGCAGCAGAGGUAGACAUCCGACCAUGUUGCCUCUGCUGCCUCUCUUACUUUCUUCAGAUUUUCUUUGGUAUCCAAGGUUUCUUCAACAAGUCUGACAUACUUGAGACCUUCACCAACACUGCACAGCAAGCCUUCUAUCAUUUCGUGAGGUAUGUUGGGUAGUGCAAUGGCAAUGCUUGUUAAUGUCACAACAGGCAUCCCCCAACAAUUUGGCAGGUCUUGAGUUGGAAACUUGUGGUGGCCACAGAAAUCAGGAUUUGUAUCCUGAAAAAGCUCUAGUAGAUGUUCCAGUUUCUGUUUCUUUGCCUUCUGAACAAAUUUAUCUGUGACAUCUCCCCUUCUUGCCAUGUACAAUGGAAGUUCAUCCUCACCUUCAAGAUGCAAAACGUAAGGGAUGACAUCUUCAGCUGUACUUUGCUUUGGCUCAUAGCUAGUAGAUGCUGCUCUAUCUUCUCUAGCAUUUUUUUUGUGUUUUUGGACCAACUCCUUGGAAAAAUUGAGGCCUGAUAAAAGCAGAUUAAUGAAGACAACUGAAACAAACUGUGUUAAUUUGCUCAGUUUCACAAUUACAAUUUGACCUUUCAUAAGAUAAACUAUACUGAAAUUAUGCAUCCUAUAGACUAGCUUUCUGCACUUAUGACCCUUGAUGUUUGAUCCCCAAGGGCUAUUCUUCCACUCAACAAGUUUCGCAAGCCAGUAAUCCUCUACUUUGAACAAAGUUCUAUUUAUCUCCUGCCCAUGUGAACACUUGAUUUUUGCAGCUGUGAACCAUCUGCCAAGCGGAGCUAUUGUACCUAUUAGUACAGCUGUCGUCUGAAUCCGUGCAAUUAGACAUGUUGCUAUCCCAUAGUCUGACCCAGGAAUGUCAGGAUAAUGGGAAAAGUACUUUAUCCGGACAGUUGCUCCUGCGAGUAUGAGACCAUUGAGACUACAUAUUGCACAAACAGCAAAGGUGUUUGCUGAUCGUGCCACCACAAAUUGAGGGUUGCUACUUUCUGACAAGAUAUAACUUUUCCUGACAAGUUUUUUCAAUUCCUCGAUGGCAGCCGGCUCAAAACACUCGGCAGCAAUCAACUCAUGUUUUUCUAGGUACUGUUGUUCUAAGUUUUUCUUUGUGGUUGAUACAGCCAAAGCAGAGGAACACAACACUAGCAACAAAACGAACAUACAGAACAUGAUUGCUAUAUGCUCAACCUGAGGGGAGAAGAUGACUUGCGUGCCUAAUUCAAUUGAAACAUUUUCAAGAAGGCUCAUUACAAGUGCACCCAGGGCUGUCAUGUUGAUGAUAAUGUCUCUAUCAUCCAUGAGAGCCAAAGAAGGCAUGAAAUUUGCCAUGGCUGUGGAAACCAGGGCAAUACUGCUUAGUUUUGCAAGUUGAUCCGGUUUACCAGGCAUGGGGUCAUUGAGAUCCAUCGGUAGCUUCACCACAAUGCCUAGCAGUGCAAGUGUUACAGCAUUCAUUGAGAAAAAUUUACAUGGAAACCAUCCUCUUUUACUUCUGAUGCCAAGGAUGAUAUCAGUAGCCAUUGCAAGUAAGCAGAUUACAGAUACCAGCGUUACAUACAGGCCAAUCCAUGGCAUUGGUUCAUUAUAUUUGUUGACAUCCCCCAUCUGUGCCUAUAUAUAUUUUCUGUUGUUUCCCAGUAAUGAUGGAGUUUGUGAGAUGAGUGGCUCUAGUGUCUAGUGUACAGCAAGCUAACAAAAAUGCCAUAACCUAAUCAAGCUAUGAAGAAAAAAAAUGAAUAGCAGAGUUGCUGAAGAAA